GACGAACGCUGGCGGCGUGCCUAAUACAUGCAAGUUGAGCGAUGAAGAUUGGUGCUUGCACCAAUUUGAAGAGCAGCGAACGGGUGAGUAACGCGUGGGGAAUCUGCCUUUGAGCGGGGGACAACAUUUGGAAACGAAUGCUAAUACCGCAUAACAACUUUAAACAUAAGUUUUAAGUUUGAAAGAUGCAAUUGCAUCACUCAAAGAUGAUCCCGCGUUGUAUUAGCUAGUUGGUGAGGUAAAGGCCCACCAAGGCGAUGAUACAUAGCCGACCUGAGAGGGUGAUCGGCCACAUUGGGACUGAGACACGGCCCAAACUCCUACGGGAGGCAGCAGUAGGGAAUCUUCGGCAAUGGACGAAAGUCUGACCGAGCAACGCCGCGUGAGUGAAGAAGGGUUUCGGAUCGUAAAACUCUGUUGGUAGAGAAGAACGUUGGUGAGAGUGGAAAGCUCAUCAAGUGACGGUAACUACCCAGAAAGGGACGGCUAACUACGUG
rnacentral:rRNA from 1 species